UUCCGGUUGAUCCGCGCCGGACCUGACGCUAAUCGGAUUGUUCUAAACCAUGUGAGUCAUUGUAGCAAAUCAAAGGCAGACGGCUCAGUAACCACGUAGUUCAUUUUACCUUAUGGACGGGGGAUAACCUCGGGAAACUGAGGGAUAACCCCCGAUAGAUCAUAAUGCCUGGAAAUGGUUUAUGGGUCCAAAAUGAUUCGUCGCCGUAGGAUGGGGACUGCGGCCUAUCAGCUUGUUUGGUGAGGUAAUGGCCCACCAAGGCUAUUACAGGGUACGGGCUCUGAGAGGAGAAGCCCCGGAGAUGGGUACUGAGACACGGGACCCAGGCCCUAUGGGGCGCAGCAGGCGAGAAACCUUUGCAAUGUGCGCAAGCACGACAAGGUUAAUCCGAGUGUUUCCUGCUAAAGGAAUCUUUUGUUAGUUCUAAAACCACUGAUGAAUAAGGGGUGGGCAAGUUCUGGUGUCAGCCGCCGCGGUAAAACCAGCACCUCAAGUGGUCAGGAGGAUUAUUGGGCCUAAAGCAUCCGUAGCCUGUUCUAUAAGUUUCCGGUUAAAUCCACAUGCUCAACAUUUGGGCUGCCGGAAAAACUGUAGAUCUAGGGAGUGGGAGAGGUAGACGGUACUCGGUAGGAAGGGGUAAAAUCCUUUGAUCUAUUGAUGACCACCUGUGGCGAAGGCGGUCUACCAGAACACGUUCGACGGUGAGGGAUGAAAGCUGGGGGAGCAAACCGGAUUAGAUACCCGGGUAGUCCCAGCUGUAAACGAUGCAGACUCGGUGAUGCAUUGGCUUGUGGCCAGUGCAGUGCCGCAGGGAAGCCGUUAAGUUUGCCGCCUGGGAAGUACGUACGCAAGUAUGAAACUUAAAGGAAUUGGCGGGGGAGCACCACAAGGGGUGAAGCCUGCGGUUCCAAUUGGAGUCAAUGCCGGA
rnacentral:rRNA from 1 species